CCUACGGGUGGCAGCAGUCGAGAAUCAUUCACAAUGGGGGAAACCCUGAUGGUGCGACGCCGCGUGGGGGAAUGAAGGUCUUCGGAUUGUAAACCUCUUUUGUCGGGGAGCAAAAGACGCCACGCGUGGCGUUCCGAGAGUACCCGAAGAAAAAGCAUCGGCUAACUCCGUGCCAGCAGCCGCGGUAAUACGGAGGAUGCGAGCGUUAUCCGGAUUUAUUGGGUUUAAAGGGAGCGUAGGCCGCAUGUCAAGCGUGCUGUGAAAUGUCCGGGCUCAACCCGGGCCUUGCAGCGCGAACUGGCGUGCUUGAGUCCGCGGAAAGCAGGCGGAAUGCGUCGUGUAGCGGUGAAAUGCGUAGAUAUGACGAAGAACCCCGAUUGCGAAGGCAGCUUGCUGCAGCGGAACUGACGCUGAGGCUCGAAAGCGCGGGUAUCGAACAGGAUUAGAUACCCUAGUAGUC
rnacentral:rRNA from 1 species